rnacentral:tRNA from 1 species
UGCCCUGUGGUGCAAUGGUAGCACACCAGAUUCUGGAUCUGGGUAUCGUGGUUCGACUCCACGCGGGGCAG